UGUCCAAAUUGACUGGGAUGCG
rnacentral:miRNA from 10 species